UGUGAGACUUGGGGGCUCCAGCCUGGCUCGUGGGUCCCUGAGUGAACUGGGGAAGCCGAGGAGGAAGGGACAUCGAGUGGGAGAGGGGGACCGGGAGCCGUCACCCGGUGAGGAGAGGGCCAGCGGAAGGCGCAGCGGCACCCGCUCCCCACCUCUUCCCUGCGGUCACGCCUUGUGAUUGUGUGCGGUUGGUGUUCUAGAAUACGAAAACAGAUGUUCUUUAACUGUCUACGGUGAUGAAAGCCGUAAAGCUCUGAGGUUUCACUCUGGAAACGCGGGCCUCGGAACAGGUCAGGGAAAGCCGACGGCCCUUCGCUCCGGCGCAGUGCUGCGCGCCGCAGGCCGGGAGGGGGCGCCAUAACCCGGACUCCGACUCCGCCCCCCGAUCCCGCCCCCCUCCUCUCCUGCGCCUGCGCCUUAGGGGAGAGGAGGCGCGCGACCGCCGGUUCGGCUCAAGACUUUGUGAACGCGGCCUCAGAGUGAGCCGGUGGCGCAGUUAGGGUGGGCCUUAUUCCUGCAACAGACCACCAGAGAAGAAGGCAAGAACUCGUGGCCUGUGGCCCCCAGGGAGAAGCAGAGGCACAUAGGGGACUCUCGUGCUGAUGGGUUCGUAGACAAGCAUCGCUCCUGUCUUUGUAGGGCUCCAGCUUGAGUACAGCUGUCCUGGCCAUACCUGCCCUUUGCCCGCUGGGUAGCCCUGACUCAUUCCAAACCUGGAGCUGCCUUGCCAGUUACUGUUGUCUUUGCUGAAGCAGCGACCCCAGUGCCUUGCUAGGCGAGCGCUGCACCCCUGCAUUCCAUCCACAGCCCCUGAACAGCUUCACGGACGCUUGGUUGCUGGGAUUCAUCUGUCUUGCUGCUGCCCAAGUCCCUAUGCAUUGGCUUCUCCCAUCAACUGGAGACUUGAUAAAGAAGAUGUGGUAUUUUUAUAAAACAGAGUACUACUCAGCC